rnacentral:rRNA from 1 species
GAUGAACGCUGGCGGCGUGCCUAAUACAUGCAAGUAGAACGCUGAAGCUUGGUGCUUGCACCGAGCGGAUGAGUUGCGAACGGGUGAGUAACGCGUAGGUAACCUGCCUCUUAGCGGGGGAUAACUAUUGGAAACGAUAGCUAAUACCGCAUAAAAGUCGACAUCGCAUGAUGUUGACUUGAAAGGUGCAAUUGCAUCACUAAGAGAUGGACCUGCGUUGUAUUAGCUAGUUGGUGAGGUAACGGCUCACCAAGGCGACGAUACAUAGCCGACCUGAGAGGGUGAUCGGCCACACUGGGACUGAGACACGGCCCAGACUCCUACGGGAGGCAGCAGUAGGGAAUCUUCGGCAAUGGGGGCAACCCUGACCGAGCAACGCCGCGUGAGUGAAGAAGGUUUUCGGAUCGUAAAGCUCUGUUGUAAGAGAAGA